CCGGGGGUAGAGCACUGUUUCGGCAAGGGGGUCAUCCCGACUUACCAACCCGAUGCAAACUGCGAAUACCGGAGAAUGUUAUCACGGGAGACACACGGCGGGGGCUAACGUCCGUCGUGAAGAGGGAAACAACCCAGACCGCCAGCUAAGGUCCCAAAGUCAUGGUUAAGUGGGAAACGAUGUGGGAAGGCCCAGACAGCCAGGAUGUUGGCUUAGAAGCAGCCAUCAUUUAAAGAAAGCGUAAUAGCUCACUGGUCGAGUCGGCCUGCGCGGAAGAUGUAACGGGGCUAAACCAUGCACCGAAGCUGCGGCAGCGACGCUUAUGCGUUGUUGGGUAGGGGAGCGUUCUGUAAGCCUGUGAAGGUGUGCUGUGAGGCAUGCUGGAGGUAUCAGAAGUGCGAAUGCUGACAUAAGUAACGAUAA
rnacentral:rRNA from 1 species